AGUUGCGCCCGAAGCCAUUUAGGCAGAGGGCACGCCUGCCUGGGUGUCACACAUCGUUACCCCAACGCAAACAGACGUCCCACACGACGGCCGUUGCGUGGUAGGGUGCACGCUGACCUCCCGCGAGCGGCGUCUCGCGGUUGGUUGAAAAUCGAGUUCGCGGCCGAGCACGCCGUGAUAAAAUGGUGGAUGAGCAACGCUCGAGACCAAUCACGCGCUGCGACUCGGUCCGCGAAGGACUCCCUGAUUGAUGACGACCCUACAGUGCGCCUCCUCUCCGGAGACGCUCUCUACGAGACCUCAGGUCAGGCGGGGCUACCCGCUGAGUUUAAGCAUAUCAAUAAGCGGAGGAAAAGAAACUAACAAGGAUUCCCCUAGUAACGGCGAGCGAACCGGGAAGAGCCCACCAUGAGAAUCGGUCGCCCCCGGCGUCCGA
rnacentral:sRNA from 1 species